rnacentral:rRNA from 1 species
GUUUAAGCUAAUAAGAGCGCAGGGAGAAUGCCUUGGCAUCAGGAGCCGAUGAAGGACGCGGUAAGCUGCGAAAAGCCUCGGGGAGUGGCAAGCACACAUUGAUCCGGGGGUGUCCGAAUGGAGCAAUCCGUACAGAGUCAAGUCUGUACAUCAUUAACUGAAUUCAUAGGUUAAUGAGGGGAACCGUCUGAACUGAAACAUCUAAGUAGGACGAGGAAAAGAAAUCAACCGAGAUUCCGCUAGUAGUGGCGAGCGAACGCGGAAGAGGCUAAACCGAGAGGAGCAAUCCUUUCGGGGUUUAGGACUGCAUUUAGCAUUCACAAGAGCUAGUUGAAGUGCAUGGGAAGGCACAUCGAAGAAGGUGAGAAUCCUGUAAACGAAAGUUUGAGUGAGCGAGCAGUAUCCAAAGUACCGCGGGACACGUGAAACCCCGUGGGAAGAUGGGGGGACCAUCCUCCAAGCCUAAAUACUACCUGAUGACCGAUAGCGUAUAGUACUGUGAAGGAAAGGUGAAAAGAACCCCGGGAGGGGAGUGAAAGAGAGCCUGAAACCCUGUGCUUACAAGCACACAGAGCACGUCAAGGUGUGAUGUGGUACCUAUUGUAGAAUGGUCCGGCGAGUUAUUUUAUGCAGCGAGGUUAAGUUCCUAAGGAACGGAGCCGAAGUGAAAGCGAGUGUUAAAUGCACGACAAAGUUGCAUGGAAUAGACCCGAAACCGGGUGACCUAUCCAUGUCCAGGCUGAAGUGAGGGUAAAACCUUAUGGAGGGCCGAACCGACUCCCGUUGAAAUGGUAGCGGAUGAGGUGUGGAUAGCGGAGAAAUUCCAAUCGAACCCGGAUAUAGCUGGUUCUCCCCGAAAUAGUUUUAGGACUAGCCUCAUAUUAGAUUAUCGGAUGUAAAGCACUGAAUGGCCUAGGGGUCGAGAGACUACCGAAGCCUAUCAAACUCUGAAGGCCGAAUAAUUGAUGUAUGGGAGUCAGACGGUGUGAGAUAAGUUUCAUCGUCAAAAGGGAAACAGCCCAGACCCACAGCUAAGGUCCCAAAGUGUAUUUAAGUGGAAAACGAUGUGGAGUUGCGUAGACAACCAGGAUGUUGGCUUAGAAGCAGCCACUCAUUAAAAGAGUGCGUAAUAGCUCACUGGUCGAGUGACUCUGCGCGGAAAAUUUAACGGGGCUAAAAUACACACCGAAGCUUGGGCUUGUACCUUUGGUACAGGGGUAGGGGAGCGUCGUAUGCGGGGUGAAGCAUGAGCGGAAGCGCAUGUGGACUUCAUACGAGUGAGAAUGCCGGAAUGAGUAGCGCGAAUUAUGUGAGAAUCAUAAUGGCCGAAAGCCUAAGGUUUUUGGAGGAAGGUUCGUCCGCUCCAAGUAAGCCGGGAGCUAAGGUGAGGCGGAAACGCGUAGCCGAUGCACACACGGUUGAAAUUCCGUGGCCACAGAAAGAUUUAAGCAGAGGGACACUUUGAAAGCGUCGUUGCCGGGUGAUGGUUACCCCGGUCGUAAGGGAACGAAUUAAGUAGUGAAGUCGACGUGGACGAAGGCGAGAAAAGCUCUGUGAAUAUCUUAUGUGCCCGUACCGCAAACCGACACAGGUAGGUAGGAAGAGAAUUCUAAGGCCAACGGGAGAAGGGUAGUUAAGGAACUCGGCAAAUUGUCCCCGUAACUUCGGAAUAAGGGGAGCCUACGAGAGUAGGCCGCAGAGAAUUGGCCCAGGCAACUGUUUAUCAAAAACACAGCUCUAUGCUAAAUCGAAAGAUGACGUAUAUGGGGUGACACCUGCCCGGUGCCGGAAGGUUAAGAGGAGAUGUGCAAGCUUCGAAUCGAAGCCCCGGUAAACGGCGGCCGUAAC